UAUCUCAAACGUAUGAGUGCUACAAUCAUACAUUUGCAAAACGACCUGGUGUGUUUUGUCAAAUUUGAACAGCAGGCUCAGGCUUGGGAUUCCAGAUGUGUUAUAAUUUCAAACAAAUGCACUCUGACGAUUGCUCUACAAAUUUUAUCGUCUUGUAGUAUUGGAUCGUGGAAUAUUGCUUGGUAUUGCAAUUUAUCUUAUUUGGCCCGAAAUUGCGAGACUGAUGUCAAGCACAUCCUGACCUGGUUGACCUCUGAAAAGCAUCAGAUCACUCUUGGACAGUCAAUGAGGACAUUAUUAGCACUCAAUGCGUUAAAAAUAUAAGGUUCAGCAACAUACUGACCUCCAAGUUCCGGUUGCUCUUCUUAUUGGCCCCGUAGCAUGCCUCAGUAUGUCAGGCAAAGGCGAAAUUCUGACAUCUCAAGACAAGCCAGCGCCCAAUUCAAGAUGUAUGGACAUUGAAAACGGUCGCUUCCGGGCUUGCAGACGUCGAUCCGUCCACAAUGCUUGCUUAUACGUUCUGAUCUUGGUGCUGGGAGGCACCGUUGCUCUCCUUGUCACAGAGAGCUGGCACCAACCACUUCUGUCUGGCAGCAUCCUCUCCUCUGCCGCCUGCAAGCGCUCACGGCAUGCACAGGUGUUGGGAUCGCUGUCUUUUGCAGAAUGCCGUGCAUGACAGCGAGUUCAGCA
rnacentral:lncRNA from 1 species